CAGAGUAGUGUUACAUAUUUAUAUAUGAAGAAAACAAUAAAAAAUACAUAAAAUAGUCAAUAAUAUUCAAAGUUCUUUUUAGUAGUUGGAUUUCACACUCUUAUUCAAACCCAAUUAGUGUCGAAUUUAGAUCAAAUAUAUAUAAAUUGGGUUGAUAUAGUUACUGUCAAAUGUUCUAUAUCUUUCUAUUAAACUAUAUUGUUACCUAUUUCUCUAUUAUUGGUAAGAUUUGUGUUAUUUUUAUUUUUAUUUUUAUCAAAAACAAAAUUUUAAAUAAAAAUUUCCACUUUGACGGACUAGUAGGAUUUUUUUUUUAAUUUAGUGAUUUUAUAAUUUAGGUUUCAAGAAUAGUACGUUAUUAAUUUUUUAAAUCCAGGGCUAAUAAAUAUUAUUUCUUUUUUUUGUUUUGUGCUUUUAGUUAGAGUUACUAAGUUGAAAGGUAAAAUAUUAUUUUUUACUUUUUUAGUCUUAAUAGAACGUAUGAUGUUUCAUCUUUAUUUACCCUUUCAUGAUAAACUUCAAACCAAAUUCUUAUAUUAAUGGAGCCACUUCUUACAUUUUAAAUUCAAAAGGCACGAAGAAAUAUUUAAUAAUUAAAAAUUUUAAAAUUCUAUAAAAAAAAAAGAAUAUGGAGUUGGAAGCAUUAUAAUUUGACCAUUCUAAAAACCCUUUCUUCAAUUUAUAUAAACUAGUCUAAACACCUGUGCUACGCAUAGUAGAUCAUGUUUUUGGAAGAAAUUAUAAUCGAUGGAGAAAUUUAAAAAGAGUAAGAAAUGUACGUAAUUGUUCGUAUAAUUUAGGGCACAGGAAAGUAUAGUUAAAAAAUGAGAUUUUGUAGCAAUAGUUCAAUAUAUGAUAAAAGCAUCCCCAUUAUUUAUAAACUACCACAUUGAUGGAAGUUAAAUUCUGAAAAAAAAAUAGAAAUCUAUAUCAUAAAUUGAGCGACAUAAGGGUUCAAUUAAAUGUCACUGAAUAUUUAAUUUGAUAAGUAAAUGAACUACUUACAAAUAUUUUGCCUUCGAUUUGAUAAUCUUUUAUGAAAGUGAGAACAUUUUUCACACCAAUCAACUCUGAGUACAAAUACCAGUAUUGGGGGUUUAAUUAAUUCUGUUGAAUUUUGUGGAGUUUGUACUAUAAAUGAGAAUGCACAAUUUUCGCAUGAAUUAAUGUGUUGGUCAAAUAAUAUACUACCAUUUACCUAACAAUUAAGAGUAUACAAAAUUUAGAAUUAUCAUUUGUUUUAGAAAGUUUGUAAAUAAUAUUGUAUAAAAAUAUAUACGUAUAAAUAAUUUAUACCUUCCCUUUUAAAUCUCUACGAUAAGAAGCAACACAACAAAGUAUGAAUCAUGCAUGCCUGUCUUGAAGAGCGAGAUAUAGGUUACUACUGGAAUUUCUAACUUGUAUAUUAACAUUGUAUAUAUUAAGUUGAAAUUGUGAUAUACAAUAAAAAAUGUAAGUAAAAUUAAAUAUAUGGGAAAAUAAUUACCUAAUAACAGUGUCAACUAUGUCAUUACAAUGGAUACACACCAUUUUUGAAUAAUGAGAUUGACAUGGUUGUCCACAAUUUUUGCAUAACUUAUGGAACAUAUUGUCUAUGUUAAUGCUUUGAAUGCAAGCAAGUAUCCGAAAAUAUUUAACUUAAAACCAUUCAAAAAAUGUAUAGAUUACAACUAUUAAUUCAAAAUAAUAUGUAGAUCAUUGUUCAAUAAUUAAUUAAUUGAAAGAAUUUUUACCUUAGGUGUGACUGCAAAUGUUUCCUCCUUUAGAAUCUAACGAGUUUGAAAUUUAGGCGUUGGUGAAAGAGAUGGUAAAUUGCGAUUUUUGGUAAAAUUAUGUUGUUAUCUCUUGUUAUUGGAUUGGAAGAGUUUUAAUCGAAGUGGAAUUGCUAAUUGGAGGAGUAUUAAUUGAAGUGGGAAAAGUGUGUGAAGGGAAGAGUGUUAGUUGGAGUGGAAUUCUUAUUUGAUGAAAACGUAAGUGUGUGUUUCAAAUGUAGACAUGAUGUAUUUUACGAAAUAAAUUAAAUGUAAAAUGCUAGAAAAACGAAAUUGGGAGUGGGAAAGUGUGUGAAGGUUUGUUACUAAAAAUCCCUUCUCAAAUUUAUACAGAUAUAGAUAUAGAAUAUCUCGCUUACAAUAUGCUCCCUAAAUGAUUAGCUCUAUAUAAUAGUCGUUCAUCCGAAUGUUGUAUGAUUACAAGAUUUCAACAACUUCCAUAAACUUUUUUUUUUUUUUUUUUAUCAAUGAUAUCUAUGUUUAACUCUAAAUAAUCCGCUAUAGCUAAUUGUCAGUCAGAUACUUAUUAAUUGCACUAACUACAUCACGUUAGCUCAUAAAAAUACACUAGUCCGCUAGAAUAGUCCAUCAUAUUACAUGAACGUGUUUGAAAUUUAAUUGGUCUAAAAUAUAAUUGCAUUAUUCUAACAAAUGCACAUUAACACAUAUAAAUCACACUAAAUUUAUUAUGUAAUGAUCUUUCAUUGCUUUUAUACACUUUCCCUAACUACUUUUUUUUUUUUUUUUAAAUAAACAUCUUCUUCUUUUGUGGAGUGCUUAGCAUGGGCUCGUUAAAUAACUCCAAUAUAAUUGUAUAUUAUGUUACGUGUACAAGAGCACAAGUGCUAGUUCCUAAUUUGAAGUUAUAGACUUUCGUUGAUUAAUCGUGGGUUGAAAAAGAAUCUCAUCUUCUACAACUCGUACAUCUUGCCUUCCAUGUUCCAUCUAAAUAUCUCCAUAAUAAAUUUGCAACCAAAUCCCGGAUUACAUAAGAUUAACUUACCUUAUGAGAUUGGUGACAAAAGGAAAAAAAGUAUUGAAAUUAAUAAGAGACCCUUGAUGAUAGCGGGAAAGUGAGUCGGACUCAAAUAAGUGCCCACGAAGCUGACGGCUCAAAAACCAAAAGAAGCCCACGUCAGUAGCGGUGGCAGAAGCAGAUGCAGAUGAAUAUCCCCGCACUUUUUCAGGUAAAAGUACGGUGGCCUAUGACGCUAAUUACACUAAUCAUUUUCUCUCCAAUUCGGGCAACGCGGAUCAAUGCGUAUGCAGCAACCCUGGUCUCGUCGGCACCUCUUCAACCCAAGAGACGUGUUUGUUAAAACGCUUGAGCUCAAGCAAAACGGCCGAAACUCAAACAAGACGAAGCAGAAAAUAAUCGCUUGUUAUAACCUCAAAAUUUUCCUCUAGGGCUUUUGCAUUCUAAUAUCUAGAACAUUCCUAGUCUUGGAACACUGCCCAAAAAAAAAAAAAGUUUUCUCGCUGCUGCUGCUUAAAGAACUUGAACUUGAUUCAACUAUUACUGCAUUAGUGCUUCCGGUUCCUAAAUGUGGUGUAAAUCGUGUUGAAUUUCUUUAUGUCAAACAAGAAAAAAAAAAUGAAGCGAGAGAAGAAAUCCAGCAGAGUUUGUUGGGCAACUGAAGCUAAUCUUUGUCAGGUAUACUCACACUAAUGCUGUUGAUGAUCAUCAUUGUAUCCGUACUAAAUUCGUGUAUUGAAUCAGCUUUUCAGUGUUUUUUUUUCUGAAAAAUUUUGAUGUGUCAUUUUUUUUUGGGAAAAUAUUAUUACUUGGUUUUUACGACUUCAAAAAUGAGAUUUCAUGCUAAUUUGUGAGUGCACAUUAGUUUACAAAUUUGCAAACAAAUAAUUUGUGUGCAUUCAUUUAUCUAUUGUAUUUGGGAACAGUACUUUAUUGAUUUUUAUUGGUAACCUAAUUGAUUCUGUCCAUUGUAGUAGGAUUUGCUUUAAGAAGCCACAACUAUUGUUUUUGGAGAGACCAGGUAUUAAAAACUCUGUUGUCUUAAAAAAUGCAGUUCUUAAAAAUACAAACAAAAUUGAAAUUUUGAAAAGAGCAUCAUGGACAUAAUUUAGAUAUACAGUCAGUAAAUUUUUAGACAUAUGGAAGUACACAUUAUAAGAGAUAAAACGAGAUAAAAAGGUCAAUAAUCAUUCAAUUUAAGUUUAAACUUUAAAGGAAGCUUUGAACUAUUUGAGGUGUUAAUCUGUUACAUGGGGAAAUCAAAUUCUGUUCUACAUUAAUGAACGCAACUCAUACUUUAGGGAAGCAAAUUUCUCCUUCCUGGAUGCAUGGAUGCAUCUAGUUCUGUGGAGGAAAGAAUUCAACCAUUUAAACAAGCUUUUGAGAAUCCUUCAUUCUCAUUUCACGGAAGAAGUACUCACUGAGCUCCAAUACGUUGCUAAUACACUUAUAGGCUGGAUGUGUUUUGUGUUUACAAGGAUUCUACGUGCAUAGCUUUUAAUUUAUAUCUUACUAAAAGAAAUGCAAACUAAGAUGUUUUCGACCAAGCAGCGUGCAUGCAGUCAAAAGAAGGAGAGUAAACAAAGAAGUUCAGGCAGGAACAGUUUGCAUCAUUUUUGAGGCAAAGAGAAUGUCUAAAACAUAAGGGAUUCUGAGAGUUCUUCAAGCAGGAAGGAGAUGAAGUUCUGCUUAUACUUUGUAUAAGCUGUUCUGCCUAAGCAUGUGAUCUGACCAUAAGCUAUUGAAGAUCAUUAAUUUUAACUAAAUGAUCUACAGAUUUCAAGCCUUCGAAACUUGACUAACAGAAGUAUUAUCUGUCACUUAGAUGCAUUCUUUUGAUAUGAUGUUGGUGAUGUUUUGCUUUUCAGAAGUCAUUGAUAAGACAAAACAUUUUGGAAGAUGUGAAGAAUGGUAACAAAAAACUGUCUGGAAAAUACUUUAAUUUCAAAAGUUUUCAAGGUGGAUAAAAUGUCCUGUUUAAGUCUUUGACUUAAAGGUUCCCAAGAUUGAAUGAGCUACUCUUAAGACACUUCUUAGAUGCCAUUGAAUUGACGAUAAUCCUGAUGCUAAAUGAUAUGCUAGCAUGUGCACUUAUCAAGCUGGCAUUCAAUGGGUGUGCCAAUGCUUAGUUAGAGCAUGUUAGUCAUUAUGGGCACCAUUAAUGGGAAUAAGUGUGCUAUAAUAUCAGACCUAUUGUUCACUGUAUGUGAAACUAUUAUCAGCUAAUGUUGUCGAAAAAUGGUAAACAACUCCAAAAGAUAACUUGAACAUGUUGGGAGUCAAAAGAAACAUAAUCAUCUAAACUUUAAAUUACGCUUUGCAUUUUUAGGUCUACUUAGAGCAUUAACUUUAGGGUAAGCUUAUUGUGAUUGGUUUGUAACGGUCCACGAGGGAGCUAUUUCACAAUCUGAAGCAGCUAUGAUGUUUAUCGAAGUACAGAAAGAGCUGUUACAAUAUAUGCGUCAGUCAUGUUAUGAGUUCAAGGAAAGGACAGAGUCAGCUGAUAGAUCAAUGGAAUAUAUACUUUGUAAGGAGAGGAAAAGUUGCUCUCUUUUGCCAAUGUUAAGUCUGAUUUGUUAGAAUUAGGCCAUUGGAGUAGCUUAGGAAACACAGUUGGUUAUUGUAAAGUGUGAAAUAAUGAGUUCAAGUGGAUGAAAACUAACCAACAGGGAUAGCCUCUACCUAUUAGGUUGUAGUUGCAAUUAUGUUAAAUCAUCUUGAGCAUAAUUCUCAGCUUCUGAGCAGCACAAACCUAGAGUCUAGCAGGGUAUUCAAAGUCCCUAGAGCAGUCCACAGUUUCUGCCUUUUGCUUAGAUAAAGGGGUAGAAAUAAUGGCACAUUGGAAGUUCUUGUAUGCGCACGCAAUGAACGGUCUCUGGGGAGGUUGUUGAUUCUUGUUUUUAAAUGAAACAUGUACCAUGCAGUGUGAUGUGUCCCCAAGAAGGCAUCAUCACUUGCAUGUGUGACUCAUCAGUAGGAGAAUGCUCCAAUAUGAACGAGAUCACUUGCUUUAGUUGUGAACAAACAGUAGGUACAUGGUUCUUCUUCUUAUCCACACGCUUUUAAUUUGGUAAACUAUAAAUUUGUGUUAAUGUGCUUUACUCUGAGGAUUAGUUGACUUGCCAUGCUUUUCUGUGUGCUUGUUGCAGAAACAUUGAAGUUAUCGAAGGGUUUUCGUAUAUGAUUUCAUAAUCAUAGGCAGUUCUAUGCCAAAAUUAAAGGAAAAUUGAUUCUCAACAAAGUGGAUGCUUGGUUAAAUGUACAUAGAACUUUUGCUUCUUUCACUGAUAAAAAUAAAGUUGGUACGUUUUGGUUUUUGGCAUGGACCUCAGCUUUAAUGUUGUCUCUUAAUUACAUGCUUGAUGUGGAAUGUUGGUAAACUGUCACAUUUGGCAUGGAGCUCAGUGAUCAUUAUAUUCUUUGUAGAUGUAUGUGGAUGUUUAAAGUGCAUUGAUAUGAGAAAGGAAGAGGACAAAUUUUUUUAAAUGGAUGACCUUGGUUAGUUGGAGCUAAAAAAAUGAUGAUUAAGUGAGUACUUCCCUUCAGAAAUCCUUGGCUUCAUAAUCAUGUCACCGCGUGGUAUCUUCUAGUUUCUAACGGGGAGUCUUCUUUCAUUUCAUAGAUGCUUGGGAUGUUUCAAUUAUUUUGGUUAUCAAUUUCAGCAUAUGAUAUCAUCACUUACUAUGUCAAAUAUGACAAUGCUCACUUCUACUUAGGUUGAACCAGUAUAACUUUAAGAGUAUAGUGGAACAGUAUUCACUUGACACAAUGUAUAACCGUUACUUGCAUUUGAAGUCAUAACUUUGCUCAUCUUGAGUUAAGAAUGCUUACGCCCUGUCAGCUCCACCAUAGUUGCACCAUAAGUGGAUAGUGUGAAUUGCUGAAGUCAUUGUUUUGAUGCUUCUUGCUCCAUUGUUUUCUGUUGAGUCAUUGCUUAUUGCUGCUAAAAGGAGCAUCUUUCGCUAUCUCAAAUAAUGCAUCCCAAUACAGAAUAAUAAAGUUCUUCGCCCUUCUGUUAAAUAUUUAAUACGCUACUUUAUAGGCUGUUACCUUUGCUUUUCGAUAUGUGGUUUAAAUUCUCUUGAUUUACAUACAUAUUGGUCUCGCUGAAGUUGUCGAACCACUUUUUGAGUUAAAUUCAGCAAGACUUUAUAUGAAGCACCUCUGUUGCAGUUCUCUAGUUGUCUUUUGUCUGCAAGGAGUAAUGUUUUGAAAUAUGGUUGUGCACACAAACAAAUAAUUUCGUCAUGUUUUACUAUCUUGAAGUGUAUGCAUUGUCUAGGUAAAGUAUAUAUUGCAUUUAGUUGGGAUGAGAAGGCAGGUUCUUGAAUGUGAAGGCAAUGAAACUUCUGCAGCAGGAUGGGUGAAAUGAAGUUAUUGCUGUCUCCUAUAUACUGUUCCUUUCACUUCCAAUUCUGGGCUUCUGGGCUUGUUUUGGGGUUCAGGGUUGGGGGGAAUGGGGGAUGAUUGAAUUGGCUGCUAUGUGGUGCGUCAAACAAUGUAGUCCUGGUGGUUCUUUGUCAGCUUUGUCGUCUCUCUACAUGCUUUAGGUAUAUUACCACGUUCUUUACAUAUUUAUCCGAUCCAAUACAUUCCAGGUCCCUCGUUUGUUAUUUGUGCAGGUAAAAUUUUUCCAAUCAGAAGAUUGCCCAUCUGCGGUAGGUAGGGAACCUCCUGGAAAUCCUCACGAAAGGGUAUCAAAUGCAAAUAUUGCGACUGCUGAUGGUUGUCCUGGAUCGUCAGUCGGAAGCUACCCCAACCUACUGAGCCAUAAAGGUGUCUCACACAUUCCUCAGAUUCCGUGGAGAACUCCUCCUCGAGUAAGCUUAUGAGAAGUGAUAAGACUGCAUAAUUUUCACAUUUUGCUUCUCAAGUUUGGGUAACCUAUUAUGUAUUUAUCAAGCAGUUUGAUUUGAAGUUUAAAUGUCACGUGGCUGCUGGGGAAGAAAGUGAAGAAGUAGAGGUUCAAAAGCAUAGGGAAAUGAGAGUGCGUGAGGUAGUUUAUCCUCACUUUUCUGCUGUUCCUCCCAGGUAAAGUAAACUCUUUAGUUUAAUACAAUUAAUUGCUUUCUUCUCUUGACCACAUCAUUGGCAUUUUGCAAAUAGCCCCUCGAUCUCAUCGGAUGUGGAAGCCGAACAUUUUGAUGAUUGGCAUACUCCGGUUAUUCCUGUCAUUGCAAUUGAAGAAGCAGCAGAAACGGACUGCCUGUAUAAUGAAACAGCAGCGCUCAACAUUUCCGCCAAGUCAGAACCAGCAAAUAUGUCCCAAAGCCCAUCAACUUCUGAAAUUUUUGACAUCCCUCAGAGCAAGUCUCUUCUUUCUCGAGAGCUAUCUAAAGGUAAAAAAUCUGAUCAUGCACCACUGCAAGAUCUAGAUGGCCCAAUGGUUGCAGCAGCAGCUGCCACAACUGCAAUCAUGAAAAGUAAAGAGCAUGGAAGUUUAAUAGGCCCAGAGUUGAUGAUAAAGCUUCUUAGCAACCCAAAAUUGGUACAGAAACUGAUUGAUGAACGAGGACUAGCUUCAGAUACUACAACUGGAACAUCUGGAUCAAGGAAGGCCGAGUCUUCAGUUCACCGUCCAAGCUCUCAAGGCAGCUUUCUGUUUGAGGAAGCUACCAUCGAAAGCUGCAAAUCUGACAGUCCCAGAACAGAGUUCAUCCACAGGUCGUCAAAGAUGAAAGGCUCACCAGCUGCCCCAAGUAGAAUUAGGGCUUACGUGGCCAGUACUAAAACUGGACCAUCAUCUGCAUGGGAUGAAGUAGAACAGUCACUUCAUUUUCAGAGCUCAACUCUUGUUUCAUUGGUCCAGAAGUCCACUACCAAAAAUACACGGCCAGGCAAUGCAGGAAUUGAGGCUCUACUAAGGCCAGGGAAUCAAUCAUUAGCUGCUAUGGCACAAAUUGGAACAGGUCUUGGACCAAAGCAAGUGACCACAUCAAUUUCAUUACUGAGAUCAAAGUCCGAUUUGCCAAGUCAGAACUCCAAUUGUGAAGUCUUUCAAAGAGCUGAUGUUGGAAAUAUGUCUCUGCUGAAAGCAUCAGAUGCCUUAUCAAGCUCAACUCCUGAUGUUUUGAGUAAGAAAUCCACUGGUAGAUAUAUUCAACUGGCCGAUAAUGGACAUAUGGCUGUACCAAGGCUAUUGAAACGAGCACCAUCCACCAAUAUUGAGAUUGGAGCAGGCUCUUGCUCAAAGACAGUGGCACCACCAGUUCCCUUGCUGAUCUCAAAUCCUGAUUUUCCAGGUAAGAAUUUCAUGAAAGAACAUAGUCAACUGGCUAAUUUCAGAGAUCUUUUCGUACCCAGGUUUGUGAAACCAACUGUAACUGGCUCUUCUAUAUCAGGAACAGCUUUUGAGCCAAAGAAAGUGACACCAUCUGUUCCUUUGUCAAGCGCAUUGCCUGAUUUCAGCAAGAAAUCUUCUAGAGAACAUGGUCCACUUUUAUACACUAGCUUCCCUGAGCCUGCUGUAGAGAGGCAUUCCCAUACCUUUCCCCGAAUGCAAGCUGAAUCCUUGGUUGAUCGGUUGGAUACUGCAUAUAUAGCAGCACAUCUUGGAACUUCACCUCUCUCUGGAUCACUUGUGGAGGUAUAUCGCCUUAAGAAGUUGAUUGAAGAACAUGGGUCGCAUGAUUGUGCUGGAAAUGAUUAUGUUGGUAGAAUUCCUGCUCCAUCUUCUGUGCCUGGCGCAGAGCAUCCAUCUUUUCCUUUGGAGCCCUUGAGGGUAAAAUUCCCAUGCACAUAGCUUUUGACAAUUACUUCUUGUGCAUAUCCCUGCUCUCUGACAACCACAUCUCUUUCUUUACAGAAAGAUAUCAGUUACUUCCAGUCCUUAAUCAAGCAAUACGGGGAAGAAAGAGGAAAUCAGGAUGAUGAGCUGUCUCUGUAUGGAAUAUCUUACAAUCACGUGCAAUCAAAGGAAGCAGAUCGAAAGUCUAAGAGAGCAUGUAAGUUCUAUAACAGUUCAAAGGGAUGCCGAAAUGGUUCCAGCUGCCCUUUCGAGCAUGAUGUACCUGGACGGUGGAGGACUGAUGUUGUGUUGGAGGCGCCUGGUGCAAAGAGGGUGAAGCUUGGUGGGAUUUUUACAGGGAGAACAUGAAGUACAAUGUUAUUUCUGCAUGGUGGUUAUCGUUUGUACAGCUCAAGGACCAUUCUGUUUAAUCUGGCAGUUAAUGUCAACCAUGGAGGUCCGAAAUAAAAUUUGUCAUAGUUUAGAAUUUUAGGAGAAACAUAUUUUGAAAUGUCCUCUGCAUCAGUGACGGAGCCAGGAUUUUUUUUUUGGAGGGGUCAAAAUUGAAAUUCCAUUCAAAGAUGACUAAUUCAUAUAUAUAUAUAUAUAUAUAUAUAUAUAUAUAUAUAUCAACUCUCAUAAUAUAAACUAAAAUUGAAAAAAUUUAGGGGGGUCAAUUUUAUUUUACAUACAUAUUUACAUAUUAUGAAUUAAAAUUCUCAAAACUUAGGGGCCCUUGGCUCCGUCAUUGCUCUGCAUUGUUUAGUACAGACUACAGAACUUCCCUUCCUGUUUUCCCUCUUCACCUGAGUCUUUGAUUCAGACUCGAUCUAUGGUAGCUUGAAUGGGCCACCGGCCACACCUAGGGAGUUGAUCAUUUUUCAGAUGAGUGAUGUUGAGCAUGCUGGAUUCCUGGACUGUCAACAAUACAUCUCGGUCAUAUGGGGAGAAAUUUUCUUGCAAUUUGCAUUUAUUGCGAUGCAUGCAAAAUGAGAGCCAGUGUUCUGCAAGUCUAAACGGGUUUCACCGACCGUGAAGUAAUCGGCUCUUUUCUGCAAGUCUGGUGGUAUUUUUGGUGUUCUGGGCCGCUUGUAGAAGGCAUGGUAGAUUGCGAGCUGCCCAAGUUGGGAAAGCAAAACCUUGUUCGGUACUUGAUAUGGGGCUUAAUCUUUUUCUGCUUAUUCUUUAGUCCGAGUCAAAUCUGGCCAUCUUUGCUUCCUAGCUUAUUCUUCCCAACCGCCCCACUCUUCAGGAUGAUAAAGUCCGUUGUUCUAGCUUAUUCUUCCUAGUUUUGCUUGCUUCUUUACGGCUAUACUUCAGAUCAACAAGCACAUCCUCCUAAUUUCUUUCAAUAUCACGAAACGGCCACAAUUUUUGAAGUUGCUCCCAUCCGCCAGACAGUCUCCUGUCCCAGAGAACUUUCCCAGAAGGCUGAAUAGUAAAUCACUUUUCAAUCUUUGAUGCGCCUCAACAGCUCCAAGUUCAAUGGUGUAUUGGCUCUACUUGGGCACACCAUAAGAACCCCAAUUUGAUCCAUAAAAAAUUUGUAUUGCCCCUAACAACGUGGUAAUCUUCUAAAAGUUUCACUACUCCAAAAGGGAAAGAACCGCGGUCAAUCUACAGUUAGAUCUGAAGCAUGUCGUGUCAGGUAGCCUUGGCGCCAAUCGUUUCCGGAAGUUGGAAAGAAAUAAGCGAGGUUAAGAGACUAAUAUAUGAAUUCAUAAGCAUCGGUGAAGGUUGCGAGCGGCCCAAUGCUAUUACUUACCUCCGGAACUUAUAUUGUGUGUUUUGUAAUAAUAGGAUUGAGUUUCAGAAUUGCACCGCCAAGAAAGAAACUACAAUUUUGGUUUUCAGAACGAAGCAUAUCUAGUCAGGAAGAUGCUCGCUACCCUUGUGAGCUGCAUGUAAUUCGUUGUAUGUCACAGUAUGCUGCGGCUGUCGGUUUUGGGCAUACAAAAUUACAAAUAAGCAACAACCCAUAAUUGAAUCAAAAGAUACAAAUACUUGAGAAAAAGUAGCUCUUUUUCUUUCCUUGCUUUCUAAAAUCAUGUUUCUUUGAGAUUGAAGCAAUCGUGUUGUCCAAGGCACACAGGCCGAAAAAUGUUUUGCAAUAACCAGUGAUGUUCCACAGAGCUGUAACAGUUCAAAUAGAGGGGAAUAUCAAAAUCUCAAAGUAGAUUGCUAAAUCUUCGCAUUCGUGGUAUGUCAAAAUAGUUCUUCACCAUGCCGUAAUAAUCUGUGACAAUCAACCGGUUCUCAAGAUGAUGUGAACCCCACUGUCAGUAUCAACAAUGUCACUUAUCUCGCCAACCUUUAGAGCAUAUGUUGCUUGCUCAAAAGGCUUCUGCAUCCGUCCCCUUCCAAAUGAGCCUGAAUUGAAGUCAUAAGCUGAAGGGGUAAGGAAGAAAGAUGAAAAAAUUCUGACCAAGAAUUCUUGAAAAAUCCAUUUCGUUACAUAGAAAACACGCACACACACACAAUCAAAAACAAUAUUAGGGUCCAAUAGUUUGAAGGUCUAUACAAAUGAAGCAGCAGAUUAAUUUGCAAGACGACUGCCGCAUAUAAUGCCCUAGGUAAAACCUAGAACCAUUUCAUUAAAACAAGAUAGAAAUUUAUGCUCAAGAACUUGCAAACUAUUCUCCACUUGCACAGAGAACUUCAAAUCUUGGACUAAAACAAAAAUUUAGUAAGCAAUAUAUUGAAAACUAUAAAGCAAGGAGGUGCAUGAGACCCGGCCUAGAGCAAAUCGCGAAUUUUUUUACAAUCUGCAAGUAAUAACAUGCAAACUAGACCAAGAAAUUCUCAGAGAUCUCCAGAAAAGCAUUACUAUUGCUAUAACAUGCAAUCUACAACAACAAAUUCCCCACCCAAAGGCAAAUACGGCAUUCAUACCAGUGAUUGGUUCUAGUGAUCAUUACCAAUUCUCGGGGUCAUAACACCAGGGAUCUCCAACGACACCCCAUAUUAGUAUUAUAACAUACAAUCUAGACCAACAGAUUCCCAGACCCAAGAGCAAUAUGUUUUUCAUACUAGUGAUCAUAAAAUGUCGCUGAUGAGGUUGAGUAGCAUGACGUUGGGCAUGGUGAAUAGUGAUAUUCAUCAUGUAAAAUGAAUUCUCAGCAUAUAUACUCUAUCUUACGCUCUAACCAACUGAAAAUCCAGAAAACUUUAAUUUGAUCCAAAAGUCAUUAAGUGACACAGCUAAUUAUUGGUUGGCAUUCUGCACUUGGGAUGGUCAUAAUCAUCUUUACUUGUGCAAUGAUACAAGCCUCAUGCUGUCACCAAGAUUGCAUAGAACAAACUGAAGAGGACACCCUGUUUAAGUAUGACAUGGAAUUAUCCAAUUAAAACCAUUUCAAAUAAUUCUAUCAGUUUAAAAUGACUAUGCCAAUUAGUUUCCACAUGCUCUAGUACAUUUAGUUUAUGUAUUUGCUUAAGCAGUACAAAUCAACAAAAGUUAGUCUAAUUGAAGAGGCAAUACCCACAACUAAAGAGCUCAAGAAAAGCAUACACAUUAUCAUGGAAUUAUCGAGUAAUACCAUUCCAAAAAAAUAACGAGAAAAGACAAUCGCUAAGAAUGUAAGUUCAGUCAAAGUAGUACUUUUUCAUGGAUGAAGAUUAUAUUGGUAUUACUAUCAUACUAACUCUGGUAAUCUUUUUGAAACACAAUGGCAGUAGAGGUACUUUUCCAAUAUUUUCUUGCUCCUAAUCCAUAUGAAAAUCAAUAAAUUCUAAUACAUAUUCCGGUGAGCUCAAUGUCCUCAAUAAGAAUCCAAAAUACUCGAUCCUUAAAAUGCAGAAACAAAUAAGUAAUUGCUGUACAGUUCCUUAUAUCUGUUUGACAAACAAAAUUUGGGGGGGGGGGGGGGGGGGAAGCAGAGACUUAUCACAAAAAAGAACCAAAAUUACCAGCCUCCACUAACACAUAAGCAUCUUUAUAACAAAUUUAAGAGCUAGAGUCACACGCAAAAUUAAUGAAAAACACCUUAAAAUAAAAAUUAAAAAAAAAUUGAACGGUUAAAUUACAUAAGCACAGCACUUAAAAAAAAAGAAGAAAGUAAAUUAAAAAGAAAAACUAAAUCAAAAUUAAAACAAAAGGGGAUAAAUACCGAGGUCUCCUCCGCGCUUAGCAGAGCUGCAAUCGGAGUAACGAGCGGCAACGUCCUCGAACUUAGCCUUGCCGGAGACGAUGUCUUGGCGGAGAGCUAUGAGCUGAGAAACGGCAGCGUCGCGAGUGGUGUUACUGAUGAUUUGGCCUUCUGGAUCUUUCCAGGAAGCUUUGCGCCGGGAUCCUUCGUGCUUUAUCAAUAUGUGGGAAGCCCUAACGCUAUCUGGGGAAGAUGAGGACGAGGACAUUUUCGUCUUCUUCUUGUGCUUUUCCGACCGAUCCGUCGAUGGAUUCGGAGCCGAAUUCUUCUUCCUCUUCCGAUCUGACUCUAUUUUUGCUGCUUUUAUUGGUUAAAUUUUUAUUCUGCGAAGAGCACCGGAAUGGAGAGAAUGGAGAAAAUGGGAAUUAACAAUUAAGCUCGAGUUUGACCGACCUCGAGUGAUGUUUUGCGCUUCACCAGUGGCGGCUCCAACUCGAAGUUCAGGCUCAAAUACUCCUACAACUCAAAUCAAAUAAUAUUAAACCAAAUUGGUCACUCGCGGCCCUUGGGCUACAUGUGUGCCUGCGCCGUCUGGUCUACAUGGGCUUUUCAGCUAGCCUGUUCCACAGCCCAAUUGCUUUUUUUUUUAUUCCUUUUUUUUUUUUGGUGGGAAGAGUUGGAAAACAAAAAAUGUUGAAGAGCAACAAGUAAAAACUGAUUUUUUGUCGUUAAAUUUGUCCUACUAAUUACUACAAUUAGAAUUUCAGCAAUAGCACCUUCUAUUUUUCUUUUACUUUUCAGCUUUCUAGAAUUAAGUAUUUCCUUCAUUACUGUUGUUUUCUGAAUAAUCUUCAAUACAAGUGAAAAUGCAUUAAUCUGACUAUGAGAUAUUAAAAAAAAAAAUAGAUAAUUGAUGGUACCCAAAAGAAAAGGAUAAAAUUUUAUUAUUUUUGCACGUCCACGUUAUUGAUGGCCUGGUGCCAGUAGCCAGUAGGGUACCCGUAACAGUGCGUAUCCACGACAGAAAAAUUAUAAUAUCCUUGAACGAAUUAACUAAUUAGACUAUAAUAUCCUUUACAAAGCAGAUAAAAUAUUGUACAAAAAAAUAAAUAAAUAAAAAUCAGUCACUCCAAUGUUGAGGAAAAAUGUCAUGAAAUUCAAAUUUGUCAUAAUGCUCAAACUCUCUCAACGAAUCGUUAGAUCUUCCAAGGAAUAAGGGGUAUAAUUUAACAAAAAAAAAUGUCGCGGCCAGCUGAACGAAAUUGAAUAAAUUUUCCUCCGAAAAUAUAUGCCUCCCAGGAUCUCUAAGUUCACCACCAAAAAAUAUUUCUUCCUAAACUUCUCUGAGGAUGGGCCAACCUUUUCUUAGGAUGUCAUUGAUCUUUGCAUGAAUACGUUUUUGCAAUCUUGGCGGACAAAGCUCUGCUGCGUAGCCAUUUAAUUUGGCUGCCAGACUUGAUUUUUCCAGCUCUUCUUCAGGCAAGUUUCCCAUUAGUUGAAGAAGAAACGGAUUCCGUUUCAGCUCAAAUUUCUGAAGAUCACAAGUCAAAAUUUUCAUUAAUGUUCCUUUCAUUCUUGUAAGUGCAUAAUGUGCCCAGUAAGAAUAUCGCAGAAGCCAGGAAUAAGAAAUAGGUUUUAACUUCUAAAGAAAACUAAGCAAAGGCCAUCCUGCACUCAUAAAUUCUGCUGGACAACCUAUUUCAAAAUCUACAAGUUACUACACAGACUCCUUCCUAUCCGUUCCGAAUAGGAGCAAAACAAAGGAGAACCUGUACUUGUAACACCAAGUUUGCUUUUGUGAUUUAUACAAGUUGAUGAAAGAUACUAACCUGAUGAUCAGGCUCUGCAGGAUAGAAUGUUCCCAAUUGCUGAAUUUGAGUGGUUACAAUGCCACUCUUUGACCUUGUCUGCUCUCUUUCUUUACUUACAGAAGCCAAUCUUGACUCUUCAGUUCCAUUUGUGAAAACGAUGGAUCUGCUUGGAAAGUUUCAACUAAGAAAGCCAGCAUUAUGACAUAGAAAAUACAACUUCAAUCCAGGUUACCAACAGUACCUGUAUUGGUUACCCACAUCAGGACCUUGCCCAAACACCUGCCUAGAAUCGUGGCUGGUCCAGAAGACCUCCAAAAGUUGUUUAAAAGUAAUUACCUUAGGAUCAUAUUCAAUCUGCACAGAAUCGAUUUCAAUAUAUAAAACAAGUGUAGAAAUAAUUGAAUGUCUAUUAAAGAGCAUGUUUUGGUAGUUGGUAAUUGCAACAGUAUCUGACUUGGGAGUAAAAUUCCAUUUUCUCUGUAGCGAGACUAGCAUGUUAUCUCAAAGUGUUCAUAAACUUUCAUAUUGCUAUACUUUUAAUUUGGAUGUCUUUUAUGCUAUUGAGGCUAUCAUAGAUUAGAUCAGGCAAAUGGUUUUCCACCUUUCAGCUAAUUCAGGUCACAAGCAAAACUCUUGGCAGGAUAAACAUUACAUUAGCUCCACAGUAGACUAUAAUAAUGAUCUGUUUCAAGGGCUUGAAACAGCUAACUAUGUCAAGAACCCAAAUCAAACAAGUGCCGACUUCAUAACAAAUUAAACUGCAACAAUAGGUUUGUUACAAGCAUUUAGUUCACAAAAUGAAGUACCACUCUUCCACUCUCACUCAGUGCUGGUGGACAACUGAGAAAUCCAGCUGAAAGGUAACAAGUGCAAACAAAGUUGAUGGGAUGACUGAAACCUAUUGUUGCAAGUCCAUUAGCAAUAACCUCAUGCACGGUCAUGUUACAGAAUCUCCAAGGCCUUCUCUAAGCAAACAGAACGAUGACGGUCAAAAACUAAGUUGCAUAGACUGGCUAAAAACAAUUCAAGAUCUUUACACUUGUAUCCCCCAAAACAUAGGAAAUACUUCCCAGUUUUUCUUGAUUAAGACUCAUUAGCAAUAAAAGAAGUUGACUAAUUCUCUAUGAUCUGCCUGGAACAACGAUAGUUCAUAGGAACAAUCAAUAUUUACCAUUUUCCUCUCCUAACUAAUUUUGUUAAUCAUAAAAAUAAAAAUAAAAAAACACAUCCCCAGUACUUAUCUCCAAUCACUCAACAUUAGAGCCUUCUCAGGCUCAACAACCGAGUAUGAGAAUUAGCAAUAAACAACUAAAAACAAAAUGUUGAUAAGUCCUCAAAUUUCAAAUUAGAUCUAAUUGUCCAACCUUUUACCAAUUCGCAAAACCAAAAGACUUAAACCGGUAAUAAAAUGCAAAUCAAUAGGCUGAAGAAAGAAGGAACGUAGGAGGUGACCUGAACAGAUUCAGCGUGAUCACCUAAGCUCCGAUACUCGGGAUUGGUUUUGGAUCCACCGGAAUAGCCGACAGUCGUACGCACUACCCCAUCCAAGCAGCCAAACACCGCUUCCGAUCUCCAGAAGCUUCCUAGAGCAAAAACCGUUGUUUGCAGCUGUUGUUGAUUGGCUGUGUCUGUAAUUGAACCCUCCGAUAACUGGGCGGAGAAUCUGAUGCCCACACAUAAAUCUGCUGCCAAUACAAUGAUUAUGGGUAAAUAGCAUGUAAGGCGCGUGGCCUCCUUCAUUGGGCUCGGAGUUGAAUCGUCGACGGCUAGAAUAAUCCGGUCGGGUCGCUGGAAUUCUUUAUAAUGUUCGACGAAGCCGAGUCCGGUUUCUCCAAAAUUCGGCUGGCUGUGAUCGGGUCAAUCCGAUUCGAAUCCACAAGUCCAUUAUAAAUAUAUUAUCUCAUUUUUCAAUUAGUUGUGAUUUCUCCGGUUAAUGCACGAAUUAAUAAUUCAUGGUUUUCCAGUGGUAUUUUUUUUUUCCUUUCUCUUUUUUAUGUUCUUUUUUUUUUUUGUCAGCUACGCUAUAUUUGUAUAACCUACUCUAUUCUAAUCUAGGGGGAGGGGAGCCUAAAGAGGCUGUUGGGGAGAAUGAUAUCUUCUUUCUAUCAAAAAGGAUUUCUUAGGCUCCAGUUACGAAUUACGACAAAGCUUGUUUAGACACCAUGGCGCUUUUUUUUUUUAUAUAUAAAUUUUGAUUGAUGUAAAGUAAAUGUAGAACCUUCCUUGUGUUGAAUUUCAUUUGUCCACAAAUUUCAAAAAAUAUUUUUUGAAUAAUAUUGGGAAUUGUUGGGAACAAUAAUAUUUUUUCAAAAAAUAUUAUAAUAUUUUUUUGAUGUAAAAAAUAUGUUUAUAAUGCAAUCAAAGAAAUUUUACAAAUAAACAACUGUUCAAACACAUUUGAAUAAGCUUUUGUUUUUGAACAAAAAUUCGUCUAGACUGUUAACAUAUUAUUGUCUUGAAUUUGCUAAGCGCCCUCCAGAGCACCUAGACUGAACCACAUCACAAACAAGAAACAAAUAGAAAAGAUCACAUACAUAUAUUGGAAUCACAGUUGUUCUCAAUAAUGUUGAUACUCACUUUACUUAUUCAAACAAAACCCAGAAAAUUUAGAUGCCUACAAUCAAAGUAAUCAAGCCACAUUUAGUUUUGGCCUACAAAAAAAAGUACAGUAAAUGUUAACUGUUGGUAUAAAAAAAAACAGGAACUAAAUCGAAAAGACCAAUUUGGUGUUGCUUCCUCAUCAGUUUCCUUGAGUUGGUUAUGCGAAUCAUCAUUGGCUUUAAACUAUCCAAAAAUGGUUGAUUUCUAGGAACCAUGAAGUUACUAAGCACACUUGUUCUCGUCCUUGUUAAGUUGUGAGGAGAAGGUAUAUAAGACCUUUCAAAUAUUCAACUAUUUCAGAUCCUCCAAGCUUUGAGCUCCCAUACACUCUAUCGACAAAAGUAAUUGGAACCUGUGAAGACAAAAAAUCGAUCUCAAAUAUCUCCAUUAACACAAUAAAAAACAAGGAGGAGAUGCAAACCAACGAAAGAGACAAAACUAAGAAGAAAUAGUUCAUCAGAGAUCUUAAAACCAAAUGACUAAAUCUCAUGUGUAGUUAGAAGCUAUAGAUAUUUGCCAAGAAGAAGAUGAUAAUCAACCCAUUACAACUAACAGACCAAAUGAUAAGCAACAAGAGAUCAAGUACCUCAGCAAUGUUGUAACCUUUUCGUGUAGCACGAACAAUCAUCUCCAUCUGAAAAACAUAUCCUUUACUCACGCAUGAGCCUAUAACAUCUUCAAGCACGGAUUUCCUAUAAAGCCUUUAGGCAAAAUAACAGUUGUUAGCUAAGGAAGUGGAAGCUUAGGCAGAAGCAACCAGCAUUUGGUAUAUUGGUUUACCGGAAAGAUCCAGUUAGGUCUGAUACACCAGGCCAAAGGAGUGUCUGCGCAAGGACAUUUGCUCCCCUGCUUGUCAAUUUGCGCAUAAGAUUCCAACCAUGCACGCCACCUCCUUUGACAUAUCGUGUUCCAGUAACUAUAUCUGCACCCGUCUCCAUCUGCUUCCUAAACAUCAAAACAUAUUCAGCUACUAUACUUCUAAAACUUGGUAAAAUUAAAUAAAAUUCUAAUACUUGAGUUGAAAGGUUCUUACUUGAUGAAGUUUGGAAGAUAUUUUGGCUGUAAAGCAAGAAAAAGAGAUGCAUUAGAUAACAAGUGAAGCAACAUAUAAGCUAAAUGAACACCAAUAAUAGUUCCACUGAUAUAUAGGCUAAAUGAACAUCAAUAAUAGUUCGAGCGGAAGCGAAAAAACAAAUAAAACACAUGCCUGCAGAAAACCUCAAACACUCACACAUUUAAUCCAAAAGCGAUGCAAUACAAAAACUAAAAAUUGACCCAUGUAGUCUCACUGUGCUCAAAGGCCCUAAUUCAACAAAAUAACUUUCUGUUAAAACUCAGUUUUCCAGUUUGUUAAACACUGCCGCAUAUUAUCUUCUUAACUUACCAAACUUACACCCAAGGUAAAAGACCAGUAUCAAAGCAGCUAAAACUAUUAUGAUUACUAAAUGCACUGUAAAAGAGACAGCUCACCAAAAGUCUAUUAGAAAUGGAAAUACACUUCAGAUCUCCCAAUCAUUUCGUAAUCUUCCACCAACCUCAAGCUCAACCCCAGAAUAAGCUGCUUUCCCCCCCUUGUUCACACCAAAUCCUAAGAAAGCGAGGAAAAAAUGUGUUUCUUUUUGUUCCCCUCCCUUCCUCUUUUUCUUUUUGGAGGCACAAAAAUUGGGGUGAGGACUAUCUUUUUUUUUUUUUUUUGGUGGCGGCCUUUUUGGUUUUUUUUUUUUUGUGGGUUUGUGGUUGGUGUUGGGGGGGGGGGGGGGGGGGGGUUUGAUAGAGCGUCCUCUUCAUCAUUCUAGUGAGUAGGAGUGCACUUACAUGGUGUGAUAAAUCAGCAUCCAUAAUGACCACAAAAUUCCCUGAGGCAUGCUUCAGGCCAUGGAUGUAAGCCGUACCUGAAACUUAACUAAAUUAAUGAUCCCUUUUGCUAGUUCAAAAACUUAAACCAAGGCCAGCCAAAGACAUACCUAAACCAAGCUUCUUAGGUCUAGCCCUCAACAGCUGGAUUAGUAGAUAGCCUUACAUAAGUAGACCUUUCAAAGAGAUAAGCAUAGGCAAAGCAUCAACAACAUUGCGAAUUAAUACUAAAGAGGACUUACAAUGCGAUCCUCUCCAUAGACAGAUUGCAGUUGUUUAACAAUAUCCUGAGUCCCAUCUGGACUUCCAUCAUCCACAACAAUAAUCUCAAAAUUGACAUUCCUAGCCAGGUAAGGACCAAUUGUCAGAUACAAGUAUAGAUCAUGAAGAGAAUGUUGUUUGUCAUUGUUUUAGUGUUAGUGUUUUUCACAUCUUUAAGUAAUAUCUAUCAUCUAAUGUCAAACCAAAACCUAUGAAGCACAAUCUCAAAUAGUUAAUUUCGUACAACAAUUUGGUCCAUGUUAUUCACAUAUUCAGUUGCAAGUCCAAAGCUUCACCUUCUUACACCUAAUGGUUCCCACACCCACUCAUAACUAUAGAGCUGAAUAUGCUCACGGCUAAUCAUCUAGAAGUUUGAGUGGACAAACAAGCAAACUUUUUCACAGCAAAUCAGUUUUAAUCAGCUUAUCCUGGGCAUAUGUAUAAGAAAAACUACACUUUGUUACCAAUUACCAGUCAUGAUUGAGAGAAAAAAGUAUCCAUACAAAAUAUGUGCUACUGUGUGCAUUGCUUAUCAAUUUUCAAACAAUUCUGAAGCUAAGAUUUUGAUACUUCGCAUGAUAUCUAAAUCAAAUACCCAGAAACACUUCUUUCCAAAUUGUAAGUCAAUCACACACACAAAAGCGCGAAUAAUAAUAAUAAUAAUAAUAAUAUAAUGCUAUAAUAAUAGAAAGACUAAUAAUAAUAAUAAAAGCGAAGAAGUGUUCCUGUGUAACAUGGAGAUAAUUAUUUCAGCAGUUCAUAGAUGAUUCUGAUGACCAAGUAAUAAGCUGUAAGAUCAACAAAAACACUUCAUUCAAAUAAACAUAAAUAAACCUUUUGAUGCAUGCAACAAAAAGAUUUAGAACGUGAAAUGAAAAAUUCACAGAAGAUAAGUGUAAAAGCCAAAAGUGCAAUGAAAGAAGCCACUAGACAAACAAAGCAGAGGCAAUGGAACAUGCAUCAUCUGUUUUAUACAUAUAUUCACAGAAAAGGAAAAGGAGAACAUGCAUCAUCAUGGAUAACUUGGUAACAAGAGAGAGAGAGAGAGACAGAGAGAGAGAGGGUACGGGAGAUGCUUGAAGAUGAGAUAAACAAGGAGAGCAAUGUUGAGGCGCUCAUUGUAGGUGGGGAUGAUUAUACUAUACUUAUUGCUAUUCUCCUUUUGCUCAUUGCCCAUAUUCUUUCUGCAUCAAAAUCCCUCCAACCCCUAGAAAGCGCAAAUUUUUAUUGAACUGGGUUAGAGAGAGAGACGGAAGGCAAAAACAAAAACACUUACAGCUAAUGCAAGUUGUAGGUAACAACUGUUAGUAUUUCAAUUCAAACUAAAGUUCCAUCCUAUUAGUUUUGGUUGUUUGUGAUAAUUCAACCCUCUAAUGGAAAAGAUCGAGCUCAUGUGUUCUUCUCAGCAGCUUACUCCACUUAGGUACUUGAUCCCAUCAACCAAAUUGGAUAGCAAAACAAUUUUGGUACAGCUUUAAAAUGCAUAUUUUUCUACCGCAUAAGAUUUUCAUUUAGCUCAUUCUUCUACUUGUCAAAUUAUGCCUCUUCAAUUCCCUUUUGUGUCAGCUGAAUUUCCAAAAGCAGUAUAACUAUCCUAAUUCCUUAUCAGUGAGCAAUAGCUCUAACAAAUUCUUAAAAUUUGACGGAAUAACACGACCGAUCUGAUUAAAAAAAAUCUUCUUUUAGUAUAAUAUGAAGGAAGCCCAUCUUUUCAAGUUCAAUUUCGAUUAGUUCAAGUAAAUUACAUAUUUCAUGCUGAGUAAGAGCAGUAAAAUACCACUGAUGUCCAAGAAUAUAUCCAAAAGGUUGGUAGCUGCUGUAACUACGUGAGACUGUUCGAAGGAGUAGCUCUAACAUAAGGUACCCAAAAUGUAUAAAACAGUCAAUAACGAUUACACAAAGAUUCCCAUACAAAUUCAGCUCUCCAUCUAAACUAACUGAAGAAGCGUAAUGAAAAGCUGGGAAAUUCAAUCAGUUUAACAACUUGAACUGAAAAUCAGAAACGAUCUAACCUUAAAGACGGCAACUUUAUAUGGUUUGGAAGCUUCAAUUAUGCGCAAAUGGCCGAGACUUUGAGAAGGCAAUUAUUGGGUUUAGGGCUUUGAAUUGGGAGUUUGAUAAUAUUAACGAGAGAAGUUCUCUCUUCUUUCGUCUCUUUCGAAAAACCGAGAAAGCAACUAUUGAUGAACGAGUGAUAGCCUCGUGGGAAUAUAAAAGUCAAUCCUUUGUUACCCGUGUUAAUUAAUGAACUGGGCGGGUUAUUUGGGCCUGGUUUCUACCCAUUUGGAUAUGAGUUUGACCCUUGAGGCUAACCUAAUGGUCACUGACAAUCUGCGUUAGAAGCUUGCUAUGCUUGUAUGUAAGUAGUAUAGUCCAAUGCGGAUUCUCCAUCUCCUCCCAUCAUCCCUUGUAAAGUUUUAGAUUAACGUUUAAUGUACAUAUAUUUUUAUAUGAUCUAACUUAAAUUUACACCACAUUAUCUGUAUUCACAUUUGAAAUCUUUUAUAUGUAUCAUAAAUGUAGACCUCCUUGUAUAUGAAACGGUAAUCCAAAAACUGUUUACUUCAUUUAUGUGCCAGUAUUACAUAACAUAUUCAUUUCUUGAAGGUAAUUGCUCUAGUGUUUUUCGAAUAAUCAACAAUGAUAACAAUAAAGAAGCAGACUACUCACAAAGAGUGACAGAGAUCAAAACAUCGAUGAUGAUCAAUUCAGCCAAAUAAUUUCAAAGAAGUUCAAAACUAAAAUUACACUAUGCUGUUAAGCUUUAGCUACACUGGCAACACCAGGAUCGCCACAGCACUAAAGUGAGAAAAAUUUGAACCCCAGUUACUGAAAUAUGGUCCACAGAUCAAUCUUCACCAAAGCUUCUUAGAACAUAAAAAGCUAAUCAAUUUCUAUAGCUCAAUGGUUAAAUUAACACAACCCUGACAGAAAAAUCUCAACUUUAGCAGAGAAAUACAACGGCAUUACAUGAAAUGAAUCCUCAAUAAUCUAAGACUUACAAAAUGGUCAAUCCUCUCUUAAUUAACCCCUAAUGCCUCAGGUGGCCCAAAUCUUUUGUGGCAUUACGCGAAUCACAACUAUUACAGGAAACAAGAAAAGGAAAUUAAAAAAAUAUAACCCAAUUUACCAAAAGAUUAAAAGGGCCAGUAUCACGGGCAAACGACAAUUAUAAAUUAAUUAAAAAAAAAAACUCAGAGGGAGAGAGAGAGAGAGAUCAAAUAAAAAGCCAGAGGAGUAUAGCACCUUCGAUUUAGAGGGAAAUGGGAGAGGUCGGAAAAUGUUUAGAGAGAGGAGAGAUGAGGAGGGUGGUGGUGGACGAUGAUGACGUUGGUCCAACACGCGUUGUCUGAAGAAAGGUUUUAAGGUGAAAAGAAAAGGAAUUAAGGGAGAGGCCCAACGAACGCAGGGUUUGUUGGUGGUAUUACUUCUCCACUUUACUCUUUAGUCUUUUCUGUGUUUCGGAUAAUUUUUACGCUACUAUAAUUGCUUUGAUUAAAAUAAUGGUACGAAGGCUAUUUCUUUUUGACCCCUAGAAGUUUGCUAAUUUCUAAAAACAGCGUGCUAUUUCACUGUAAUAAUUUAUUAAGCACGUGCAAAUUAUUGUGCUUGUGAUACUUAACACGUUGAACUCCAAUUCAUAAGUUUUCCUCUCUCCACAUCUAAUUGAUAGACCGUAUUGUAAACCAACUCUCUUGAUUUUGGUGAAAUUUUGCAUGAUCAAGUGAUUACAUCAACUAAUACUACUGAAUCUAGCAUCUUAUUUCUAUUAAUCAAGUGUAGGUUGUAGCAUUCCUGUACAACAUUUGAGUGAUACAAAAUGAGUCAAAUGAAUUUGAUAUUGGAGAAAUUUUUGGUUUUUCAUCCAUGACGAUGGGCUAAUUAAAAUUGUGAUAGCCUCGUGGGCAUAUAAAAGUUAACCUUUGUUACCCGUGUUAAUUAAUGAACUGGGCCGAGUAUUUGGGCCUGGUUUUUACCCAUUUGGAUAUGAGUUUGACCCUUGAGGCUAACCUAAUGGUCAUUGACAAUCUGCAUUAGAAGCUUACUAUGCUUGUAUGUAAGUAGUAUAGUCCAAUGCGGAUUCUCCAUCUCCUCCCAUCACCCCUUGUAAAGUUUUAGAUUAACGUUUAAUGUACAUAUAUUUUUAUAUGAUCUAACUUAAAUUUACACCACAUUAUCUGUAUUCAUAUUUGAAAUCUUUUAUAUGUAUCAUAAAUGUAGACCUCCUUGUAUAUGAAACGGUAAUCCAAAAAUUGUUUACUUCAUUUAUGUGCUAGUAUUACAUAACAUAUUCAUUUCUUGAAGAUAAUUGCUGUAGACACCAAAUUUUUGGUGUAAUUUCAUUUUUAGUUUUUUAUUUGUCGUGUUCAUUUUUAGUUUUUAGUUUCCAGUUUUAUUUUUAUUUUUAAGUUUUAUCAUAGAAUUUGUUAAAAAAGAAAAAGAAAUAAAAAGCAUUCAAAAAAUAGGUUUUUAGUUUUCUUGGAAAAAUCAUAAAAAAAGGAAAAAGGGAAAUUUGUUCACAAAAAUAUAUUUAUUUCUUUAAAUUCAAUCUUUGGGCACUUUACUUAUUUUUGUUAAGUUAUUUUGAAAAAAAGGAAAAAAAGGAAAAAAAUGAAAAAUGGAAGAUUGAAAGUGUCAUUUUGUUAUUUCUAGUUUUAUUUUUGUUUAUUCAAUCCAAUGUUAAUUAAGUUACUUUUGUUAUUAUUAUUAUUUGAUUAAAUCGGUUAGUUGUUAAGUUAAAAAAAAAAAAAAAAAAAAAAAAAAAGAGGGUUCGCGGCAGGCAGGCUGCAUUCUUUUUGCAGCUUGCCAAGGGCAUUUUCAUGCGUGCCAUGAAGGGGCAGGAUGAAGGCAGAGGCUAGCCUUCAUCCUCGCCAUUCAAAGAAGGGUUUUAGGGGAUUGGGAGAUGGUACAAAAAGAAAAAAACAUCAGCCGCAAAGGGAUCCUUAUCAGGGGAAAGAUAGAAAACAGCAAAAAAAAAAGCUAAGGGAGAAAACCAGCAAAGGGGAAGAGAGAAACACAAGCAAAAAAAAAGAAACCUACCGAGGGGACAGAGUGACGGCGGAAAGAAAAAUCUGGGCCAAAGAGAGAGGGACCAAAGAAAGGGUAAAAACUGAGGAGAAGAUAGAGAGCUUUUGGAGAGUAAGCCGACGGGAAAGGAAGAAAGAAACUGACGAGGGAGGUUUGAGAGAGUGCGGGAAGGUUGAGCAAGCGUCAGGGAGAGCUGGGAAGAAACCAUCAACGUAACAAGAAGAGGGGAAAUCGAAAAUCUGGAGGCCCAUCGCAGCAGAAAGGAGGAACUUUCCUUAGUUUCCUUUGUCCGGUGUCAGUGAUUCAUUGCUCCUCCAUUCAAGCGUUGUUUGUUCACGAUUCCAAGGAGUGAAGGUAACCUCUCAUCUUUUUCGGUCAUGAUUCAGCAGGCUUUCAUUUGACUGUUAAACCAUUUUUUUAAUUUGCUGUAUGCAUCUUGGGAGAUGGGGAACCCGUGUCAUGGCUAUCAAUCUUGGAUGUCCGCUGAUGAAACUGCAAAUUUUAGUUGAUUUCGGAUGAUACCACCAUAGAUUUCACCCGAAACCAGAAACCAUUUGUUUUUCCCCUGUGCGUCCUUCAUGUUUUCACCUUGUUUUGUCUAAAAAUGGUCUGUGUGGCAUUUGUUUUGACUGUUAGAACCCUUAAGAGUUAGAUUCAGAGUCUACUGCAACAAGCUUCAAGCUGUUGGCUUGAUGCAGCCGUUUCGUUUUUUUCCUUUUCUUUCCUUCUCUUGGUUGCUGAAUUUGUAGCGUGUCGGGCAUGUUCUUGACUUGGAAGUUUUGUUGUCAUUCGUAUGAGUUUCUGGUGCUUGAAUAUAAAAGUUGGAAAAUAGGAAGAAUCUUGGGCACUCCUGUGGCUUGCUUUCAUGUUUGCAUUACACCUAAGUUUGAGCAUAAAAAUCUGCUGCCAUGGUUCCUAUUUUCUAUCAAUUGGUUGCAGCAGCCUUUGAUUUGUUUUAUGGCUGAGGUUUGUUCGUUAAUUCUGAGUUGCGCUUGUGGGGGCAGUGGUUAAAUGGUUAUGUUUGUUGUGGUCUUAAUGGAAUGUUUGUUUCUUUUCUUGUUGUGUUUUUUUGCAAUCAGCUAUGAGCAGAAAUUUGCUGCAGUUCUCUUUCUUUUUCUUACUGAUCAAACCAGAUUUGUGAUCUCAAUCUUGUCGACAAAAUCUCAUGUUUUGAUUUGGGUCAAUAGUUUCUGUUUGAGGAAUUUGUUUGUAUGAUGAAAUUGAUGUAGUUAUUGCUGGAAAUUACCGCAAACUUGGAAACCGAAAAUGCAGCAAGUUUCAUUUUGAUUGUUUGAACUAUUUAUUUGAGGUGUUUUGAGAGUUGAUUAACAUGGUUGAGUGGAGCUGAUUCAUAGUUUAGCUUGAAUUGUGUGCUUGCUGUAAGAGGUUGCUUGGGAUUGCUGAAGUUGUGUGCGAGAAACUAUAGUAAAAUGGCCGAAGGAAUGGUUGCAGCUUUGGUCGAAAUUUGCUGAUUGCAUGCAUGCAAAUAUUUUUCCAAAAAUUGCAUUUUUAGACCUCCAAGUCUCCUCUUGUUUCACAAUGACCCAACAAAUGGAAUAAUUUCUUCAAUUAGAUCCCCGUGAUUUUUGCAGUAAUGCUUCAAAGCUCACUAAUGCUCUAAUUUAUUGCUAUUGGGUCAUGAAGUAAUUGCAUUUUAACUCACUUGACUUUCCUUUGUUCUCGGACCUUCAAAAUUCCUAAAAAUAUCUCAAUUGGUUUUGUUUGAUUAGAUUAGUGGUUGCAUUUGGGUCCUUAUCAUGUGCUUUAUUUAGGAUUUGAAUAGGUCAUGCCUUCUCCUUGAUCUUUAAGUAUCUUUUGACUAUAUUUAAGUUGUGAUUGAGGAAUGAUUUGAUGAUUUGAUGAAUGCCAUUUGGAUUAUUUAUAUUUUAUUAUUAAAGUGGUGCCUUGACCUUUUUAUUAUUUUGGAGGGUAAUUGAAUAAUUUCACUUCAUUGGGGCGUCAAUUCAAGGGAGGUACACUCUAUCCCUCAUUUGCACUACAUUUGACCUUACGUGCUCCUACGUGUUAUGUGAAUAUGCAUGUCUACUUCGCUUUCCUUACCUCCUUGCAUGCAUUUACUUGUUUUUUUGCUUUUAUUUUAAGUUUUAUGGGGUAUGUGUACACCUCUUGGCUUGUAAUAGAUAGGGCUCGGAGAGCAUCUGGUCCAUUUCCCCUUCCCCUUUAUGCUUUUAUGGGGUAUGUGUACACCUCUUGGCUUGUAAUAGAUAGUGCUCGGAGAGCAUCUGGUCCAUUUCCCCUUCCCCUUGGUUGCUUGCUUUUGUUGCUACAUGUUUAAUUGCUUUAUUAGGUUCUUGCAUCUAGUCGAGCAUGCUAAAUGCUAUGUGCUAUGUGUUUACGAGUAUUUUGGCAUGUCUACUUGCUUUCAUAGCCAUGAAUGAAUGGAAUGGAUGAAUGUACGUUUCCGCUAGUCCAACGCUAGUCGGAAUUCAUAGAAUGGGCUAGUCCAACGCUAGACCCUUAGGGAUUUCCCCUCAUUAGCAUAUCAUUUGCUUGUUCACUACAUAUCAUGCAUUUUUCCCUAGUUUUAUCAUCUGGCAUGCUCCUCGAGCCCUUUCCCCUCACUUUAGGUUUUGCAUCCCAUACUAGCUAUAGGGUUCAUUUUGCUUGAGUGUCCCCUCUUGAUAAGGGAAACGAGCGAGUGUGGCUACUCGAUAGCCUUAGCACGCUAGUUUCGCCUUCUAAUCAAAGGGAAAAUCAAGUCACGAUUUAGGUCUCCCCGUACCCAAUAUGCAUGAAUUCCCUAGGCUCAUGCAUUCUCAAUCCACUCUAUCAUUACACUUUCACUUUUGUCUCAUUUGCACACAUGCACCCUUUUAUCACUUUCACUUGCACACGAACACUUUUAUCUUCACUCGCACACGAGUACUUUCAUCUACAUUUGCACACCUUCACUCUUAUCUUAUUACUUUUAUCAUUUUUUCACUUCACAUAAACUCACACUUUCACAUGGCAUGCAUUCCACUCAUUUUUCACGUCAUUUAGGUUUAGGUGUGACCUCUCCAAAAGGAUCAUUAUUGGGCUUCACAAUUAAUGUGAUUGGCACCACUCAACCUUUGAAGAGAAAUUUCCCCCAA
rnacentral:lncRNA from 1 species